rnacentral:rRNA from 1 species
UACGGGGGGGGCAAGCGUUGUUCGGAAUUACUGGGCAUAAAGGGUGCGUAGGCGGCUUGUUAAGUCAGGGGUGAAAGUUUUCGGCCCAACCGGAAAAUGGCCUUUGAUACUGGCGAGCUUGAGUGCGUGAGGGGUGACCGGAACGAGUGGUGUAGCGGUGAAAUGCGUAGAGAUCACUCGGAAGGCCAAAGGCGAAGGCAGGUCACUGGUGCGCAACUGACGCUGAGGCACGAAAGCGUGGGGAGCAAACAGG